AAGCCCAGCUUGCUGGGUGGAUUAGUGGCGAACGGGUGAGUAACACGUGAGCAACCUGCCCCUGACUCUGGGAUAAGCGCUGGAAACGGCGUCUAAUACUGGAUACGAACAAGAAUCGCAUGGUUACUUGUUGGAAAGAUUUUUCGGUUGGGGAUGGGCUCGCGGCCUAUCAGCUUGUUGGUGAGGUAAUGGCUCACCAAGGCGUCGACGGGUAGCCGGCCUGAGAGGGUGACCGGCCACACUGGGACUGAGACACGGCCCAGACUCCUACGGGAGGCAGCAGUGGGGAAUAUUGCACAAUGGGCGCAAGCCUGAUGCAGCAACGCCGCGUGAGGGAUGACGGCCUUCGGGUUGUAAACCUCUUUUAGCAGGGAAGAAGCGAGAGUGACGGUACCUGCAGAAAAAGCACCGGCUAACUACGUGCCAGCAGCCGCGGUAAUACGUAGGGUGCAAGCGUUAUCCGGAAUUAUUGGGCGUAAAGAGCUCGUAGGCGGUUUGUCGCGUCUGCUGUGAAAUCUGGGGGCUCAACCCCCAGCCUGCAGUGGGUACGGGCAGACUAGAGUGCGGUAGGGGAGAUUGGAAUUCCUGGUGUAGCGGUGGAAUGCGCAGAUAUCAGGAGGAACACCGAUGGCGAAGGCAGAUCUCUGGGCCGUAACUGACGCUGAGGAGCGAAAGGGUGGGGAGCAAACAGGCUUAGAUACCCUGGUAGUCCACCCCGUAAACGUUGGGAACUAGUUGUG
rnacentral:rRNA from 1 species